UACGAGUGGAGCGAGCGUUGUUCGGAAUCACUGGGCGUAAAGCGUGCGCAGGCGGUCAUGUAAGUCAGGAGUGAAAUCCCAGAGCUUAACUCUGGAAUGGCUCUUGAAACUGCAUGACUAGAAUCCCGGAGAGGUUGGCGGAAUUCUCAGUGUAGAGGUGAAAUUCGCAGAUAUUGAGAGGAACACCAGUGGCGUAAGCGGCCAACUGGACGGGUAUUGACGCUCAGGCACGAAAGCGUGGGGAUCAAACAGG
rnacentral:rRNA from 1 species